UGGAGGCUGAUUGCUGUUCAUUUACUCAUUUGCAUUUGACAGUGGGAUGUUACCAUGUCUUCAAAAAGUUAUUUAUAUUUUUGCACUUUUCCAGUGCCUGAUUGACCAAUGUGCUUAUUUUUCAUGUUCAUUUUACUCUAGCGGCAGAUUUUUUAUCGUCUCAUUUUAAUUGUUUUAUGCCAUUUAUUUCUCAUGCUCUUCUGUUUCUGUGUAGGGUGUGGCUAUCACUCAAGAAAAUUCAUUAUUAGACAACACUGCUAGAAUUGAGGGCUGGUUAGCUAGAUUCCCAAUGUUUGACUGGGUUGGGGGAAGAACAUCUGAAAUGUCUGCAGUUGGUCUUCUUCCAGCAGCGCUUCAGGGAAUUGACACAUUGCUGAAGUUUCUGAAUCAUAAUGUCAGAGUAUCUGUUCAAUUUUGAUUUUGAGUUGUGAUUCCUGUCAAGUACCUUUUCGUGGCACAUGAGCUAGGUCAUCUAUGAGGGUUAAGAAUAAUCCUGCCGCCUUGCUUGCUUUAUGCUGGUAUUGGGCUACUGAUGGAUUGGGAUCCAAGGAUAUGGUUGUUCUUCCUUACAUGGACAGCCUAUUAUUAUUUAGUCGGUAUUUGCAGCAGUUGGUCAUGGAACCUAUUGGGAAAGAAUUUGACCUUGAUAGUAAUCGGGUAUGUGUAAUUUUUUCUUUUGUUUGGGGAAUAUUAAUCAUCCAGAAAACUCUUAGUUAGGUUGCCAAUAUCAUGUAUUUCUAGCAUUUUGCAUUAUAAUUGUUCAUAAUGGUGCUUGGGAUUCUAGUGUCAAGCU